CCUACGGGGCGCAGCAGUGGGGAAUAUUGGACAAUGGGCGAAAGCCUGAUCCAGCCAUGCCGCGUGUGUGAAGAAGGCCUUCGGGUUGUAAAGCACUUUCAGUGGGGAAGAAAGCCUUGGGGCUAAUACCCUCGAGGAAGGACAUCACCCACAGAAGAAGCACCGGCUAACUCCGUGCCAGCAGCCGCGGUAAUACGGAGGGUGCGAGCGUUAAUCGGAAUUACUGGGCGUAAAGCGCGCGUAGGCGGUCUGAUAAGCCGGUUGUGAAAGCCCCGGGCUCAACCUGGGAACGGCAUCCGGAACGGUCAGGCUAGAGUGCGGGAGAGGAAGGUAGAAUUCCCGGUGUAGCGGUGAAAUGCGUAGAGAUCGGGAGGAAUACCAGUGGCGAAGGCGGCCUUCUGGACUGACACUGACGCUGAGGUGCGAAAGCGUGGGUAGCAAACAGGAUUAGAUACCCCAGUAGUC
rnacentral:rRNA from 1 species